CUACGGAAAAUGGCUCCUCCCUGCGGCCGCCGCCGCUCCAGCGGCUCCAGGGUCGAAGCCAUAGGGGAAGCCGCUUCUCGGUUACCUCGGCCAGCUUGGCUUCCGUGGAGGCCGCUCCUCGCUUUCUGAGGCUCAAACGCAAGCCACCGCCCGGAAGGCCGCCGAUCUGAGGAGCGCAACCGCCAGCCCACCGCUGGCCUGCCGCUGCCCUACCGCUGCCCUGUCCAGCACCUGGAAUGGAUAAAAGUGGCAGUUUUUGUUUCUUCCCAUGAGGUUGUGUAUCUGGACUGAGAACCAGGAAAUUAAUCUAGACUAAGACAUUUCUAAGGACCUGGAAUGGCUUUGGGGAGCACCAGGAGGACCUGAAAAGAGUAUUUGAGGGCCUAGAGGGACAGAAGAGUUUGCCAGUAGGAUUUAUGAGAAACAAUUGAUUAGAAACAGCAGCAGAGAAACCUUUUAGAUUUCUUCUGUGGAAAAGUUGAGUCUUGGUUCAAAUUAAGUAAAAUAAACACCGAAGAGAAAUCAAAGUCUCAAAUAUAAAAAGUAUGUAACUUAUAGUGUAAGUUUAGGAAAACAAAUGAAAGGACAGAU
rnacentral:sRNA from 1 species